rnacentral:rRNA from 1 species
AUGAACGCUGGCGGCGUGCCUAAUCCAUGCAAGUCGAGCGAACAGACGAGGAGCUUGCUCCUCUGACGUUAGCGGCGGACGGGUGAGUAACACGUGGAUAACCUACCUAUAAGACUGGGAUAACUUCGGGAAACCGGAGCUAAUACCGGAUAAUAUAUUGAACCGCAUGGUUCAAUAGUGAAAGACGGUUUUGCUGUCACUUAUAGAUGGAUCCUCGCCGCAUUAGCUAGUUGGUAAGGUAACGGCUUACCAAGGCAACGAUGCGUAGCCGACCUGAGAGGGUGAUCGGCCACACUGGAACUGAGACACGGUCCAGAUUCCUACGGGAGGCAGCAGUAGGGAAUCUUCCGCAAUGGGCGAAAGCCUGACGGAGCAACGCCGCGUGAGUGAUGAAGGUCUUCGGAUCGUAAAACUCUGUUAUUAGGGAAGAACAAAUGUGUAAGUAACUAUGCACGUCUUGACGGUACCUAAUCAGAAAGCCACGGCUAACUACGUG